ensembl:lncRNA
CUGUGGCCGAAUCUGCCAUGGAUCUGCCUUAGAUGCUUCACAGGGUCAGCACAGGCUUGGCACUUGGUCAGAUUGAUUAGAAUUACAGGGGUCGGUAGAGUCUUUGAACUUUGAACUUUGUCAUAUUUAGUCGAAUUUAUUAGAAUUACAGGGUUAGCAGAGCAGAGCAGGGUAUUUGAACUUUAUAAAAUUGAGUAGAAUUACGGGGUCAGCCAAGUCUUCGCAUUUUGCCAGAUUGAGUAGAACUGAAUAGAAUCAAGGUGUCAGCAGAGUCUUGCCACUUUGUCAGAUUUAGUAGAGUUGAGUAGAAUUAUGUGGUCAGCAGAGUCUCUACUUUGUAUAGUUCUAUAGUUCUAGUUACUCUUUCUAGUUACGGUACAUAUAGUAUAUAUAAGGGACUGUGAUGUCCUAUUGUCAAGCAAAUCUCCAUUGCCCUGUGCAUAUUCAUAUAGUUGCUGUAGCAUGAUGGUGCAGUUACAGACUAAUGAGGCAGGACUCUGUGGGAGUCUCUCUGUCUCCACGCCUGUGGUGGGCUGGGAUCACUGCGCCCGGCUACUGAUUAGUAUUCCUCCAGUGUGCUCUUAGGCUCAGUAACACUAACAUCCCCACCUGAAACACUUUGCAAUCGGAGAAGCGAUUAUUUAUUCAGGUUUUUACCAAACUGCACAACACCACAUUAAGGGCUCACUUUGCUUUCCAAGCCAUGAGCUGAGAAGCUGGGGAGGAGGCAGAAGCAUGCCUGGCUUUGUAGUUGUUGUUGUUGUUGUUGUUGUUGCUGUUGCUUUUUUUUUUCAUUCCUCUCGAAUUUUUUUUUUUUUGGCAUGGGCAGAAUUACAAGUGCGAGAGUCGUGCGUCAUCUCCUGAAGUUCAUGCUCCUUUGAGCGCUCUCAGAGAUACAGCUAACUCUCUCUCUCUCUCUCUCCCUCUCUCUCUCUCUCACAGAUGAGAUGACGGAGAUGUGGGGCAGAAAUACAGCUCUCUCUCUCUCUCAGUCUCUCUCUGUCUCUCUUUCUCUCUCACGCACACAUUUUCU